UACACGGUGGAUGCCCUGGCAGUCAGAGGCGAUGAAGGGCGUGCUAAUCUGCGAUAAGCGCCGGUAAGGUGAUAUGAACCGUUAUAACCGGCGAUACCCGAAUGGGGAAACCCAGUGUGACUCGUCACACUAUCAUUAACUGAAUCCAUAGGUUAAUGAGGCGAACCGGGGGAACUGAAACAUCUAAGUACCCCGAGGAAAAGAAAUCAACCGAGAUUCCCCCAGUAGCGGCGAGCGAACGGGGAGGAGCCCAGAGCCUGAAUCAGCAUGUGUGUUAGUGGAAGCGUCUGGAAAGGCGCGCGAUACAGGGUGACAGCCCCGUACACAAAAGCGCAUGUGCUGUGAGCUCGAUGAGUAGGGCGGGACACGUGGUAUCCUGUCUGAAUAUGGGGGGACCAUCCUCCAAGGCUAAAUACUCCUGACUGACCGAUAGUGAACCAGUACCGUGAGGGAAAGGCGAAAAGAACCCCGGCGAGGGGAGUGAAAAAGAACCUGAAACCGUGUACGUACAAGCAGUGGGAGCACCCUUUGGGUGUGACUGCGUACCUUUUGUAUAAUGGGUCAGCGACUUAUAUUCUGUAGCAAGGUUAACCGAAUAGGGGAGCCGGAGGGAAACCGAGUCUUAACCGGGCGUUAAGUUGCAGGGUAUAGACCCGAAACCCGGUGAUCUAGCCAUGGGCAGGUUGAAGGUUGGGUAACACUAACUGGAGGACCGAACCGACUAAUGUUGAAAAAUUAGCGGAUGACCUGUGGCUGGGGGUGAAAGGCCAAUCAAACCGGGAGAUAGCUGGUUCUCCCCGAAAGCUAUUUAGGUAGCGCCUCGUGAAUUCAUCUCCGGGGGUAGAGCACUGUUUCGGCUAGGGGGCCAUCCCGGCUUACCAACCCGAUGCAAACUGCGAAUACCGGAGAAUGUUAUCACGGGAGACACACGGCGGGUGCUAACGUCCGUCGUGAAGAGGGAAACAACCCAGACCGCCAGCUAAGGUCCCAAAGUCAUGGUUAAGUGGGAAACGAUGUGGGAAGGCCCAGACAGCCAGGAUGUUGGCUUAGAAGCAGCCAUCAUUUAAAGAAAGCGUAAUAGCUCACUGGUCGAGUCGGCCUGCGCGGAAGAUGUAACGGGGCUAAACCAUGCACCGAAGCUGCGGCAGCGACACUGUGUGUUGUUGGGUA
rnacentral:rRNA from 1 species